rnacentral:rRNA from 1 species
AUUGAACGCUGGCGGCAGGCCUAACACAUGCAAGUCGAACGAGUGGCGGACGGGUGAGUAAUGCAUGGGGAUCUGGCCGAUGGAGGGGGAUAACUACUGGAAACUGUGGCUAAUACCGCAUACUAUAGGAUGAACCCAACUGGGAUUAGGUAGUUGGUGAGGUAAAGGCUCACCUAGGCGACGAUCUCUAGCUGGUCUGAGAGGAUGACCAGCCACACUGGGACUGAGACACGGCCCAGACUCCUACGGGAGGCAGGAGGGGGGAAUAUUGCGCAAUGGGGGCAACCUGAAGCAGCCAUGCCGCGGGAAUGAAGAAGGCCUUCGGGUUGUAAAGUUCUUUCGGUAGCGAGGCGUUAACUACAGAAGAAGCACCGGCUAACUCCGUGCCAGCAGCCGCGGUAAUUC